UACAGGGGGUGCAAACGUUGCUCGGAAUCAUUGGGCGUAAAGCGCACGUAGGCGGUCUGUUAUGUCGGAUGUGAAAGCCCUCGGCUCAACUGAGGAAGUGCAUCCGAAACUGGCAGGCUAGAGUACUAAAGAGGGUCGCGGAAUUCCCGGUGUAGAGGUGAAAUUCGUAGAUAUCAGGAAGAACACCUAUGGCGAAGGCAGCUCUCUGGGACGGUACUGACGCUGAGACGCGAAAGCGUGGGGAGCGAACAGG
rnacentral:rRNA from 1 species